CAGAUGCGAGGAGAACCAGUCAGAUGCAAAGGAGCUGGUUCAUUGUGAGGAUUAACCCUGACAACAGCAAGUGCUCCUCAAAGUUACAGGUCAGCAAAAGAAGUGGGAAGAUGCAUGGUGCAAAGGAAGAACUCUGGCCUGAACCCUCAUGUAUCCUCCUUUAUUAAGGAGUUUCUGGAUUUCAGCUGGCAAAACUAUUAAGCUACUAUGAGCAAAUACGUUCUACACAGGAGUUUUCUGAAUUUGUACAUUUUAAAGAUUGUUCUUAUGACUGAAUCUGUUCAUGUCUGUUGUUUUAAAAUGCUCUUAAUAUGAAACUUUUAUGUAUAAAUGAAAUGUUUUCAAGUUUUUGGAAAACUGAAAGUACAAUCUGCAAGAAUAUUAAAAUGUUAUUUCAAGUAUUACAAUUGAACAAUUAAAUCAAUAAAAGAAGUUAAACAGUAUUUUGUUUCUUUUUAUAGAUUUUACUACUGAGACCUGUUGAAA
ensembl:lncRNA